CCAAUAGCGUAUAUUAAAGUUGUUGCAGUUAAAAAGCUCGUAGUUGAAUUUCGGGACCAAUUUGUUGGUCGUGCCUCGGUACGUACUGGUAUUAUUGGUUUCUCCCUUCUGAAGAACCUCGAUGUCAUUAAUUUGGUGUCGUGGGGAAUCAGGACUGUUACUUUGAAAAAAUUAGAGUGUUUAAAGCAGGCAUACGCUUG
rnacentral:rRNA from 1 species